CAUCUUUGAGCACCACCACCAUACGAAAGUUAAUCUGGGAAGAGAAGAGAAGAAAUAGCGUUGGCAGGUCUUCAUCUUUAGUCAACCAAAACAUCAUUUCCGAUCAUCUAUUUUUGUUGUGUUCUCUCCCUUAUAUCUCAACGAAAAGAUCAGAACAUAGAUUUUCAAAUAUGACCAGAGCAUAUCGUUCUGCAUUUUCUUUAUUUGCAAAAGACAUUGAUUCGGGCACGGGUAAACCUAACAUCAAUAGAUAUCGACCCCAACUACGAGUGUAAUAAGAUAAAAAAGUAUUACAGAGUCUUUGAUCUACAUGUGCAUACACAAGUUUUCUUCCAUGGAUGGUUAUUGUCUGAUACAACUGUCGCUGACAAAACAGAGGAAUGAGUCUUAGAACUAUUUCAAAAUCAUCGAAUAGAUCCAAUAUAAAUGUUAUAAAUUGACUAUGGAUAAGUCAAAUGCAAGGACAAGAAGGCACAAUUGGGGCGUUUGAAAGAUAAAAAGAUUAAACACC